ensembl:processed_transcript Snhg14 small nucleolar RNA host gene 14
UGUUUUAAGUGUUUAUAUAUAUCUUUAAGCAAUUUUAAAAUUUUGUAUAUUUUCAUCUAGUAUUAAUAAAGGUAAAUAUCUAGUGUACUGUAUGAAAAAACAGCCUGUAUCACGUUAAAAGCAAUCAAGAGAAAUUAAAAUCAGAGUUAGGAUUAAUGAGUAGCAUUUAUCCCAGCACCUUUCAAGAUUAUACACAGCUCCAUACUCAGUUUGAGGACAGCUUGGGCUCAUUAGGCCUUUUGUCAAAAGAAAGUGUGAAAACAAAGAAAAACUGAACACCUCCCUUCAAAACAAAAGGAAUUGUAAGAAUAUGAUUUUUUUUGUUCCAAUUUUAAAGUUAUCUCCUAAGAUUUCACUAUUUGUGAUUCUUAAAUGUAAUUUGAUUUUUUUUUUUUGUUGGACAGUAAGAUAGCCAAAUACCAGAUCUACGAAAGAGCAUUACAGCUUAAGGUGAAUGUAAUUUAACAGUGAAAUAUUCUCUAGAGGUGGGGUGUUGUAUUAUAAACUAAAAGAAGAAACAAGUUGCCUUCUUGUAGACAUAUUUUAGUUCAUACUAAAAUAGUUAAGAAAUUCCUGAUUAUGCGUAUGUUGUGUCAUUAAGGAAGUAAAUACUUUUGUAUCAUGAUAUGUAUUAUUUUACAGUAAUAAUUGAAGAUUUGUGAAAAUCAAUUAAACUAUACAUGCUUGGAAAUGGCCACAUGAGACCAUAUUGAAUGAACAAUUUAUUCCAACAGAAAACAUGUUCAGGAAGAAUGUUAAAAUUUUAACACUUGUAAAUAGGAAGAAGAUGACAUUUGCCAGUCUUUGUACUUUAUGAGGGUAUUCGCAAAUAAGCAUCAAAACAAGAAGAAAAUAUUAAAAGGACAUUUUGUGCCAGUACAUCAUGGUUGUGCUGGAUUACCUACCCAACUCUGUAUAAUGGUUUUUCAAACAAUUUGUGAAGAAUGUUAGAAUCUUCAGAGUCUUCUGCAUCAGCAAAGAGUAGUGAAACUAAUGGAAAAGAUAAAAUUUUUGGUGCUCAUGAUGACUUAAUUUAAUAGUCAGAACGUGAGAACAGCUGAGAAUUUACAUUCCUGAAAACUAGAGGCGGUUGCCGAAUCGGAUAGCCGUUGGUUCUACAGCCACUAUAAUGAUCUGAAAAGCUGAAUGAGUUGCAUGAACACUGUCAGGAAUCAUAAUAGAACUCAGCUAAUUGGAUAGAGAAGGGAAUGUUGAUUUGAAGACAAUUACUAUAUAAAGAUUUUCUCAUUGCUGCUGUGCUGUUGCAUUAACUCAAGAAGUGGAGACACUUCUACAUGGAUAAGAAUUGUGUGAUUGAAUUGAUUGUGGAAUCAUCUCAGUGUUUUCAUAAGUAUGAAGUGUAUUUCAUGAUACUUUUGAAGUUAGUUAUAGAAAUUUUUUUCUAUUGAUUUUUCUAUUUAUCAGUGGGUUUCAGUAUAUAUAUAUAGCAUAGUCUGACAAGAGUGGUAACAUUUAGAAAUAUACCAGGUACUGUUAGGACAAUAUUGUAUGAAGCUUUACUUUUAUAGUGCAUGUCAAAGUUUUGGGGUUUUCUGGUACAUAUUAUUGGAUUUUUAUUUAUAAAAUACUUGUUAUAAGAGCAGCUAAUUAUGGGAAUUACAGUUAUGUGUCAAAAUUCUAUUACUUUGAAGUACAUUGGCUAGGUAUAUCAAGUCUUCAGUUGACUAAAUGUAGACUUAGCAACAUUAAUGAAUUUGGCCAUUAAAACGACAGGAAUUUUAGUCAACAUUCCUCUCAUAUAUUUGUGUAUUUAUUUAUAUAUGUAUGUAUGUAUUUAUUUAUUUAUUAUCAAAUCAUCAUGCUGUUCAUUUCUGUUCAUUGUUUGAGUAUCCAUGCUAAUUAUCUAUUAUUCUUAAGUAUAUAUUUAUAAAUAAGUCUGUAAGCAGGUCAUCAUGUAUGUCAGAUGAAAUACUGUGUUUUCGACUCACUCUGUUUUAUUACUAAGUUGUAUAUAAAUUAUGCAUUAAAUACAAAAUGUUCUCUCUUA